rnacentral:misc_RNA from 1 species
UACGGAGGGGGCGAGCGUUAAUCGGAAUUACUGGGCGUAAAGCGCGCGUAGGUGGUUUGGUAAGUUGGAUGUGAAAGCCCCGGGCUCAACCUGGGAACUGCAUCCAAAACUGGCAAGCUAGAGUACGGCAGAGGGUGGUGGAAUUUCCGGUGUAGCGGUGAAAUGCGUAGAUAUAGGAAGGAACACCAGUGGCGAAGGCGACCACCUGGACCAACACUGACACUGAGGUGCGAAAGCGUGGGGAGCAAACAGG